AUGUCCCCCCACACACCCCGGGGGUCCCUGCACCUCCUCUGCCGAGGGUCUGGCUUUGACUUUGGGCAAUUCGCCAUGGGCUGGGUGCGCCAGAGAGCGGGCAAGGGGCUGGAGGUGGUGGCUGGGAUCACCAACCUCGGCGUCAGCGCCGAAUACGCGCCGUCAGUCAAGGGCCGGUUCAGGAUCUCCAGGGACAACGGGCAGAGCUCGGUGACGCUGACCAUGAACAACCUCCAGGACGAGGAUUCCGGAUCCUAUUUCUGCGCCAAAACCGACUGUCCGGGCUGUUGGAGCAUUGCUGGUUAUAUUGACGAUGCUGGGCUCCGGGCGGCCGUGACCCUGCUGGAGUCCGGGGGGGACCUCCAGCCCCCCGGGGGGUCCCUGCGCCUCCUCUGCCGAGGCUCCGGGUUCAGUUUCGGCAGUUUUGGGAUGGGCUGGAUGCGCCAGAGACCCGGCGGAUUUCUCAUUUGA